GAGUUUGAUCAUGGCUCAGAGUGAACGCUGGCGGUAGGCCUAACGCAUGCAAGUCGAACGGCAGCACAGUAAGAGCUUGCUCUUACGGGUGGCGAGUGGCGGACGGGUGAGGAAUACAUCGGAAUCUACUUUUUCGUGGGGGAUAACGUAGGGAAACUUACGCUAAUACCGCAUACGACCUACGGGUGAAAGCAGGGGAUCUUCGGACCUUGCGCGAUUGAAUGAGCCGAUGUCGGAUUAGCUAGUUGGCGGGGUAAAGGCCCGACCAAGGCGACGAUCCGUAGCUGGUCUGAGAGGAUGAUCAGCCACACUGGAACUGAGACACGGUCCGGACUCCUGCGGGAGGCAGCAGUGGGGAAUAUUGGACAAUGGGC
rnacentral:rRNA from 1 species